rnacentral:rRNA from 1 species
GACGGACCACACAAACGUUGUUCGGAAUUACUGGGCGUAAAGUGUGCGCAGGCGGCCGAGCAAGUCGAGUGUGAAAGCCCCGAGCUUAACUUGGGAACUGCGCUCGAAACUACUUGGCUGGAGUGUGGCAGAGGAAGGUGGAAUUCCACGUGUAGCGGUGAAAUGCGUAGAGAUGUGGAGGAACACCGAUGGCGAAGGCAGCCUUCUGGGCCAACACUGACGCUCAUGCACGAAAGCGUGGGGAGCAAACAGG